GGAUACAUUUUUGGCUUGGUCAGGGAUACAUUUUCUUGAGACGGCGCGGCAACACUGCUGGGAAUAAUAGAAGAAACGAGUAAGCAAACGGAAGGGUGAACUAAUGGAUAGUAGUCCAAUUCCUGUCCCGCUGAAGAGAAAGUUUACGUAAAAACAAGGCUUAAUACGGCUUCAUUAAAAGAAUUCGAUCAAACGACUAAAUUGUUAAAGGGACUAGUCUAAAAUGGAAUCUCACCUAGAAGAAAAUCAGCAGCUUAAUCAAACUAGAAACCAAGCGAUCAUGCAGCUAGAUGUAAUCAAAUUUUAAUUGUAGAAUUAUGUGCUUCAUUAGAGACGAGCAGCAAAUUGCUGUUUGAUCACAUAACCGAAAAGCCAUAAAUCAAACAUCUUUUCGUAAUAAAGGGUAAGUUCGAGUUCAAUCAUAUAUGUACAUAUGUAUGUAUGUACAUACGAAAAGCAGACGGGUUAACUGACCUUCCAAGUACAUAGUAAACGAAAGUGAGCGAGAAUAAUGGUGACAAUGAAAUAAAUUGUGUGGAUUUUGUUCCCAAACUCAUUUGGCCUUGAAUACAAAUCGCAAUUCAGAACAUAACUAACAAGUAUCUAACAGAAAUAAAAGAGAAGGAAAAAUUAAGACGAGUGGCCUCGGGGAAAGUGUUAGACACUAAUUCUUAAAAGGCUUACUGUUAAAAAAAAACAAUAUGCAUUCG